GACGAACGCUGGCGGCGUGCCUAAUACAUGCAAGUAGAGCGCACAGUUUAUACCGUAGCUUGCUACACCAUAGACUGUGAGUUGCGAACGGGUGAGUAACGCGUAGGUAACCUGCCUGGUAUCGGGGGAUAACUAUUGGAAACGAUAGCUAAUACCGCAUAAUAUUGAUUAUUGCAUGAUAAUUGAUUGAAAGAUGCUAUUGCAUCACUACCAGAUGGACCUGCGUUGUAUUAGCUAGUAGGUGAGGUAACGGCUCACCUAGGCGAAGAUACAUAGCCGACCUGGGAAGGUGAUCGGCCACACUGGGACUGAGACACGGCCCAGACUCCUACGGGAGGCAGCAGGAGGGAAUCUUCGGCAAUGGACGAAAGUCUGAACGGGCAACGCCGCGGGAGUGAAGAAGGUUUUCGGAUCGUAAAGCUCUGUUGUAAGAGAAGAACGGGUGUGAGAGUGGAAAGUUCACACUGUGACGGUAUCUUACCAGAAAGGGACGGCUAACUACGUG
rnacentral:rRNA from 1 species